rnacentral:rRNA from 1 species
GGGCCCGCACAAGCGGUGGAGCAUGUGGUUUAAUUCGAUGAUACGCGAGGAACCUUACCAGGUCUUAAAUGCAUAACGAACGAUUGGGAAACCAAUCUUUCUUCGGACGGAAUGCAAGGUGCUGCAUGGUUGUCGUCAGCUCGUGCCGUGAGGUGUCAGGUUAAGUCCUAUAACGAGCGCAACCCCUAUUCUUAGUUGCCAGCGGUUCGGCCGGGGACUCUAAGAAAACUGCCAGUGCAAGCUGUGAGGAAGGUGGGGAUGACGUCAAAUCAUCACGGCCCUUACGACCUGGGCCACACACGUGCUACAAUGGUAGGUACAAAGGGCAGCCACUUGGCGACAAGGAGCUAAUCUCUAAAACCUAUCUCAGUUCGGAUUGGAGUCUGAAACUCGACUCUAUGAAGCUGGAAUCGCUAGUAAUCG